rnacentral:rRNA from 1 species
CCCUUAGAUGUUCUGGGCUGCACGCGUGCUACACUGAUAUUGCCAAUAUGUCAUUCUUAUCCGAAAUGGAUUGGGUAAUCAAGUAAUGAAAUUUCAUGCUUGGAAUCGGUAAUUGCAAUUUUAUCGUGAACGAGGAAUUCCUAGUAAGCACUAGUCAUCAGCUAAUGUUGAUUAUGUCCCUGCCCUUUGUACACACCGCCCGUCGCUACUACUGAUUGGGUGUUCAAGUGAGAUGCUUAGACCCUUGUUGCAUGGCUCAUUAUUGUGCUCCGAAAGGAAAAAGUUUCAAGCUUGAGUGUCUAGAGGAAGUAAAAGUCGUAACA